rnacentral:rRNA from 1 species
ACGGGAGGCAGCAGUGGGGAAUAUUGCGCAAUGGGGGGAACCCUGACGCAGCAAUACCGCGUGAGUGAAGAAGGUUUUCGGGUCGUAAAACUCUUUUAUUAGGGAAGAAUAAAUGACGGUACCUAAUGAAGAAGUCCCGGCUAACUACGUGCCAGCAGCCGCGGUAAUACGUAGGGGACAAGCGUUGUCCGGAAUGACUGGGCGUAAAGGGCGUGUAGGCGGCUUUAUAAGUCUGACGUGAAAGGUACCGGCUCAACCGGUGACAUGCGUUGGAAACUGUAGAGCCUGAGUACUGGAGAGGCAAGCGGAAUUCCUAGUGUAGCGGUGAAAUGCGUAGAUAUUCGGAGGAACACCAGUGGCGAAGGCGGCUUGCUGGGCUCUAACUGACGCUGAGGCUCGAAAGUGUGGGGAGCAAACAGGAUUAGAUACCCUGGUA